rnacentral:misc_RNA from 1 species
GAAAUGCGAUAAGUAGUGUGAAUUGCAGAAUUCAGUGAAUCAUCGAAUCUUUGAACGCACAUUGCGCCCUUUGGUAUUCCAAAGGGCAUGCCUGUUCGAGCGUCAUUUGUACCCUCAAGCUUUGCUUGGUGUUGGGCGUCUUGUCUCUAGCUUUGCUGGAGACUCGCCUUAAAGUAAUUGGCAGCCGGCCUACUGGUUUCGGAGCGCAGCACAAGUCGCACUCUCUAUCAGCAAAGGUCUAGCAUCCAUUAAGCAUUUUUUCAACUUUUGACCUCGGAUCAGGUAGGGAUACCCGCUGAACUUAAGC